AAUGGUGAGGAAACGACAGACAUUAAAUAUUUUACAAGUGAAAGUUACAGCAUUCAUGUCAACGAAUUUGGAAGAAUGGUUCAAGGAUCAUAUCAAAGAACCUAUUCUCACCCAGCUUGAAGAAUUCCAGGAGAAAGAUUCUGGCUGGACUCUGACGAGUAUUAUCAGUUUGUGUAUCAAUAUAAAAAAAUAUUCUCCAAUCAUCAUGAUGAUGGCGGAAGCUUGCCUAAAUACCACUACGUUUAGAUUAAAUAUCUGUCUCGACUUUUAAGCACUCAAUUAAGUAAAUCUCAUGUAAAAUCAUACCACUGCGAAAGGUGUUUACAAAUAUUUUACUGUGAAGAAAGGUUGGAAAUGCACGAAAAUGAUUGCAAAAAUUUAAAUAAAUGUCGAAUUAAUUUGCCCGACUUUAAGAAUAACAUUCUUAAAUUUGAAGAUUACAAUAAAAGUGAAAAAGUUCCUUUUGUUAUUUAUGCAGAUUUUGAAUGUUUGUUAAAGCCUACUGAAAAUGAAAAUGCUUUUCAGCUUCAUGAAGCAUAUAGCAUAGGCUAUUAUAUAAAGUGCAGCUUCGAUGACAGUUUAUCUGUUUAUAAAUCAUACAGACAAGAAAAUGAAGAUGAAGAGACACCGGCAAAAUGGUUUGUUCGAGAACUGAAAGGAAUUAGUGAAAAGAUUGAUCUACUCUACAAAAAUCCAAAACCAAUGAGACUUACAGAUCUAGAACAAUUAUCUUUUCGGACGUCAUCUGUUUGCCAUAUAUGCCGAAAGCCUAUCAAAAGUGAAGAACUCGCAGUACGAGACCAUUGUCAUCUAACAGGACGUUUCAGAGGUGCAGCUCACAAUUCAUGCAAUUUAAAUUACAAGGAUUCGAGGUUUGUGCCGGUUAUCUUUCAUAACCUCAAUUAUGACACAUACUUCAUUUUGAAAGAGAUUGCUACUUCUACAAUAAUGAAUGGACGAGUAUCUCUGAUACCUCACAACAAAGAAAAAUAUAUUUCAUUUACGAAGUAUAUAGAUGACUGUGACAUCAGUUUUAGAUUUAUAGAUUCAUGGCGUUUUUUACCAUCAUCGUUGGAAAAGCUUGCAUCAUAUUUGGAAACCGUGCCGAUAGCAGUAAAUGAGUUUAAAAAUGAUGGAUUUACAGAUGAACAAAUCAAUCUUCUUAGACGAAAAGGUAUAUUUCCAUAUGAUUUCGUAGAUGGAUUGGACAAGUUGAUGACUACAAAACUGCCAGAGAAGAAUGAGUUUUACAAUAAACUAACAGAUUCUCAUAUUAUUGACGAAGACUAUCACUAUGCUGUUGCAGUAUGGAACAUGUUUACUAUAAAAACUUUGGGCGAAUAUUCAGAUUUGUACUUGAAAACAGAUGUUUUAUUAUUAGCUGACGUCUUCGAAAGUUUUCGAGAGACAUCUCUGAAAGCGUAUAGUUUAUGUCCUGCACACUUUUACACGACUCCAGGUCUCACAUUUUCAGCAGCUCUAAAAAUGUCAAAAGUGGAAUUGGAGCUUCUUACAGAUAUAGAUAUGCUGAUGUUUAUUGAAGCAGGCAUUCGAGGAGGAAUAAGUCAAUGUUGCAAUCGGUAUGCUAAGGCGAACAAUCCGUACAUCGGACCAUCAUACGAUAAGAAUAAGAAAACGAAGACACUCUUAUAUUUUGAUAUUAAUAAUCUUUAUGGAUGGGCUACGGUGCAGUAUUUACCAGUGGGAAAAUUCAAAUGGAUCGAAUAUGAAACGAAUUCAAAUUUUUUCAAUGCACCACCAGACUCUGAUACAGGCUACUUUGCUGAAGUAGAUUUAGAGUAUCCUGAAGAAAUACAUGAUGAUCACCAAGAUUUGCCUUUUUGUGCAGAGCAUCGUACACCCCCUGGCUCAAAGCAAAAGAAACUGUUGACUACUUUGAACGAUAAGAAAAGGUAUGUCAUUCAUUAUCUUGCGUUAAAACAGGGAUUAGAUAAUGGACUUCGACUAAAAAAAGUGCAUAGGAUUCUGAGUUUUGAGCAGAAGCCUUGGCUCAAACCAUAUGUUGAAUUUAAUACAGAGAAGAGAAAGCAGGCCAAGAAUGAGUUUGAAAAGCUUUUCUACAAGUUAUUAAUUAAUGCAGUAUAUGGUAAGUGCAUCGAGCGAGAACGAUCUCACGUUGAUGUGCGAUUAGUGAAUAAAUUUACAGGUCGAUAUGGAGCAGAAGCACGUAUAGCUCAACCGAAUUUUCAUAGUUGUGCUAUCUUUGAUUAAAAUUUGGUUGCUAUACAGCUAAAGAGAACAAGUAUUACAAUUAAAAAACCAAUAUACGUUGAUCUCAGCAUUCUCGAUUUGUCUAAAACAUUGUUAUACGAUUUUCAUUAUUCAUAUAUGAAGCGUCGACUUGGGGACAAAUGUAAACUCCUUUACACCGACACAGAUAGUCUAAUAUAUGAAGUCGUUGACGUGGAUAUGUAUAAAAUAAUGAAAGAAGACUUGCACAAAUUUGAUACUUCUGAUUACAAAGAGAACAAUCAAUUUGGAAUCCCGCGUGUCAAUAAAAAAGUGCCUGGAUUAAUGAAAGAUGAAUGCUGUGGCAAGAUUAUGACGGAAUUUAUUGGUUUACGUAGCAAAAUGUAUAGUAUUUUGAUAGAUGGAUCUGAGACUGUGAAAAAAGCCAAAGGCAUAAAAUCAAGUGUUGUGAAGAAAACAAUCACGUUCGAAGAUUAUCAAAAAUAUCUUGAAGAAGUUAAACGUGAGCAGUGCAAUAUUCGCUCUAAAUUGCAUGUAGUGCAUACUGAAAAACAGAAUAAAAUAGCACUAAGUCCGCAUGAUGAUAAAAGAUACUUAUUACCUCAUAGCACAGACACUUUGCCUUGGGGUCAUUACCGAAUUAUUGAGGAACAGAUGGCGCUGGCUGUAAUUCAAAUGGAGGGAGAUGAAAAAAUGGCUGAUACAAGAGAAGAAAGAGUGGGGGAGAUGGAAGUGGAGAAGGGGUAUGAAGCGAUCAAUACUGAAGAAGAAAGCGAGAGAGCAAUGGAGAGGGGGAAUGAAGUGACCAAUGAAAACAGUGCAGCACGAGUGGGGGUGACACUUUAUGGCGAUACAGGUGAACAAAUCAUUAUCGAAUACGAUGUUUGUGAGGAGCUAAUGCACGAAUGGAAUCCAUCGAUGGAGGGGGCAUCUUCCGAUAGAAGGGAUAUUCUACAAGAGGCGAUGGAAGGGGCAGACAUCAUGGUGGGGAAUGGGCUAUAUCAACCGACGCAGCACGGUGAAGAGCACAUUCGAGCAGUCGAGCUUGAAAAUUACCUGCCUUUGGAGAAGAAACCAAGACUCACUUAACAUUUCCAAAAUGGAUCUAUCUGCACUUAACAAAAUUGCUGAGCGCGAGUUCUUGCCCAAGAAGAAAGCCACGGACUUAGAAAAAGAUCAUGCAUACAUGGUGACUGCGUUCAAGAAAGUAAAGACGAGAUUCGGCACGAAGAUCGUGGCCGAGAUCGAUAACAGCUUUUAAAUAUUUCUUCAAGAAAAGAUCUCAUCAGCAAUCUUGAAAGAUCAAGAACUUUUCAAUAAUCUCUCUAACACAGCAAAUAAACUUAGUUUAUUUAUAAUAUAUCAGCGUGGAAC